UACGUAGGGGGCGAGCGUUAUCCGGAUUCACUGGGUGUAAAGGGAGCGUAGACGGCCAAGCAAGCCAGGGGUGAAAGCCCGGGGCCCAACCCCGGGACUGCCCUUGGAACUGCAUGGCUGGAGUGCGGGAGGGGCAGGCGGAAUUCCUGGUGUAGCGGUGAAAUGCGUAGAUAUCAGGAGGAACACCGGCGGCGAAGGCAGCCUGCUGGACCGCGACUGACGUUGAGGCUCGAAAGCGUGGGGAGCGAACAGG
rnacentral:rRNA from 1 species